rnacentral:rRNA from 1 species
UAGGGAAUAUUGGACAAUGGGGGAAACCCUGAUCCAGCCACGCCGCGUGGGUGACGGAGGCCUUCGGGUCGUAAAGCCCUGUCAGGAGGGACGAGGAGAUUGCCGGUUAAUACCCGGUGGUUUUGACGGUACC